CGUGCCAAACAUACUUCCAAUCAUCAUUGAUAAAUUGUACGUAAUAUCAUUUGAAACAAUACUUGUCAAUGGGUAAAUUUGUUUUUACUUUUAAGCGAUGACGAAUGAACUGGAAGCAUAUUAAAGGUUCGGCCCAGAGCUCUAGCUCUGUGAUUUUCAUUUUUUGAUUAAUUUAUUCUGUUAUUGCUAUAAAAAAUAAUUAUAGUAAAAAUAAUUA